ACGAACGCUGGCGGCAUGCCUAACACAUGCAAGUCGAACGAGACCUUCGGGUCUAGUGGCGCACGGGUGCGUAACGCGUGGGAACCUGCCCUUAGGUUCGGAAUAACUCCCCGAAAGGGGUGCUAAUACCGGAUAAUGUCUUCGGACCAAAGAUUUAUCGCCUUUGGAUGGGCCCGCGUUGGAUUAGCUAGUUGGUAGGGUAAAAGCCUACCAAGGCGACGAUCCAUAGCUGGUCUGAGAGGAUGAUCAGCCACACUGGGACUGAGACACGGCCCAGACUACUGGGGGAAGCAGCGGUGAGUAUUAUAGGACGGGGGACAACAUGCUGAUCCAAUAAUGCGUGGGUAAUGAUGAACGUCGGAUUGUAAUAAAGUUUUUUUACGCAUGAUGAUGAUGGCAGUACCAGAAUAAUCAGCGGCGGACACCUCC
rnacentral:rRNA from 1 species